rnacentral:rRNA from 1 species
CUACGAGGACGAACGCUGGCGGCGUGCCUAAUACAUGCAAGUCGAACGAACGGAUAAAAGAGCUUGCUCUUUUGAAGUUAGUGGCGGACGGGUGAGUAACACGUGGGUAACCUGCCUCACAGCUGGGGAUAACAUCGAGAAAUCGAUGCUAAUACCGAAUGUGCUGAACAUCAUAAGAUGUUCAAGUGAAAGACGGUUUCGGCUGUCACUGUGAGAUGGACCCGCGCUGGAUUAGCUAGUUGGUAAGGUAAUGGCUUACCAAGGCGACGAUCCAUAGCCGACCUGAGAGGGUGAUCGGCCACAUUGGGACUGAGACACGGCCCAAACUCCUACGGGAGGCAGCAGUAGGGAAUCUUCGGCAAUGGACGAAAGUCUGACCGAGCAACGCCGCGUGAGCGAAGAAGGCCUUCGGGUCGUAAAGCUCUGUUGUUAGAGAAGAACAUGGGUGAGAGUAACUGUUCACCCCUUGACGGUAUCUAACCAGAAAGCCACGGCUAACUACGUG